UCCGUUGGAUGCAUGCCUCCUUGAUUCCUUUCUUCUUCAUUCAUUCAUGGUGUAACUGAAGAGGAAUCCAAUAGCACAUGAUUUUCAACCAACAGAUCGCUCUCAUGGUUUUCAAUAUAGUAAUCUUCACAAUCACAAGUGAACCAUUUUAUGCAAGCAACUAAACAGUCAUUAUCUGGCUCCACAGUUGCACCAUUUAUGCGAGCAACUAAACAUGCACCGUCCUUCCACCUCCCAAUUUUCUCUUCCUCAACUGAUUAUUUAUAAAAACUAUCUAAUAAAUGUUCCACGGCGC
rnacentral:lncRNA from 1 species